rnacentral:RNase_P_RNA from 2 species
GGAGUUGGCCAGGCAAUCGCUCCGCGCAUACCUUCCAUUGCUGGAUAAGGUGCGCCGGGGAGGAAAGUCCGGGCUCCAUAGGGCAGAGUGCCAGGUAACACCUGGGAGGCGUGAGCCUACGGAAAGUGCAACAGAGAGUAGACCGCCCAAGCACGCAAGUGCCGGUAAGGGUGAAAGGGUGCGGUAAGAGCGCACCGCGCAACUGGUAACAGGCUGCGGCUAGGUAAACCCCACUCGGAGCAAGACCAAAUAGGGGUCCAUUGGUGUGGCCCGCACUGGACCCGGGUAGGUUGCUUGAGGCCUGUGGUGACACAGGUCCCAGAUGAAUGAUUGCCCACGACAGAACCCGGCUUAUCGGCCGACUCCUUUA